AUUCACAGGCCCAUUGAUUUCCCUUUCUUAAUUAACACAAGGCUCCCGAAGGCUAAUCUGAAGUUUCACACAUGAAUCUGCAAGUAUGUAAAGACAUACAUUCUCUCCAAGAACCAGAAUGAGAAUCUGCAAAGCUGAAGAGAAAACAUCCCGUCAUCUCUGUACUUGUGAUGCCUGAGAAGGAGCAAGUAUUUCACGAAUGUUUGUGGAGUAAAGAAAAAUUAUCAAGUCCUUUGAGAAAUGACUGCAGGAGAGGUAGGAGCAAUCGUUACUUUCUCCUGGGAGCCUGGAAGCUGCCUUGCCCCCACACUUCCCCUGUGUACUCCUCUUCACUUCUCACUGUGAAAAGGCAAAAUAAAAUGGAGAAGGAAAAGUGGAUGAGUGGAAGGUAA
rnacentral:lncRNA from 1 species